rnacentral:rRNA from 1 species
UACGGAGGGUGCAAGCGUUGUCCGGAAUCACUGGGCGUAAAGGGCGCGUAGGCGGCUCAUGAAGGCUGUGGUGAAAGUCCGGGGCUCAACCUCGGAUCGGCCGUGGCGACUCGUGGGCUGGAGCACUGUAGAGGCGGAUGGAAUUCCGGGUGUAGCGGUGGAAUGCGUAGAGAUCCGGAAGAGCACCAGUGGCGAAGGCGGCCCGCUGGGCAGUGGCUGACGCUGAGGCGCGACAGCGUGGGGAGCAAACAGG